AUCUUCUCAAAAGAGAUAUACAGGCACAGAGAGAAAAGGGAGAAAGACAGAGGCGGAAGACGAUAGAGAGAGCCGGAGCCGGCGAAUCUCUGGCAACCGACCCCACGCGUGCUCGCCUCACACCCACAGAGACGAAGUCGUCGAGUCUAGGGUUUCCCGGCUAGGGUUCCGAUCAAGUUCUCGCCAUUUCCGGUUACCUCCGGUGAGGUUCCGGUGAAGAUUUCGGUACCGCUCAGAUUGGGUUAGUCUGUGUUGUUCGCUAUCACACUUCACCAUCAGACUCGGUCUUAUCCGGUCAUCAGGCGAAGCGGGUUUUGGUGAUCAUAUAGGUAUGGCUCUGGAGUAGGGUUUGUUGGUGAAAAAGGCAGUCGACUGAUGCAGUGUUGUUGUUCAGGUCAAGAUUGAACUGUGUGUAUAUGUUUGCUCUACGUACAGGUAUUGUAUAUAACACACGUACAGUGGGGUUAUGGAUUUCGUGAAAGCCACACUUGAGAGUGACACAAGAGUAUGUUUUAUGUUAUCUUCCUUUCAACUCAUUAUUAAUUAUACGGUAUAACAUCGGUCUAUUAGUAUUAUUUUUUUCUUAGGUGCUCGCUUCCGAAGCUAGAAGAAAACAUAAAACCAGGGGCAACACAACUUCUGCAGGUCUAUUUGGAAGUCAGGCUGCCAAAACAAUUAGAACUAUAGAUACAACGAUUAACUGCUAUUUUGCAAAUUUCCCUUUACAUAAAGAACUAUCUACAGGUCCAACAAGAACAGAGUUUUCUCAUCGACUAGAAAAGGUGGGAGUGACCUUGAGCCAGUGGCAGAGGAGUUGCCAGCCAAUCAUGAAUUGGCUCAACUUUCUGAACAGGAAUCGUCAUCUGAAUAAUGUUUUAAUUGUCCGAAUCCAAUAAGAAGAGAAUUUUCUUAUUGACUAGAAAAACUGGGGAUAGACUUGGACCAAUAGCGGCAGAGUUCACUGGUCCCAGUUUCAAGUUGACUCGACUUUCUGAAAAUGAAUUGCCAGCUGAAUAUGGGUCAAAUGGGUAAAAGUUAUUUCUAGCAGACUGGUAUGUUUAAUUCAGCAUCGAGAUGUCCGCGUUUGAGGUUUGAUCAGAGUCGACUUGAUAGAAACGCACUGGAGGAUGGGGUUACACCAACACUGAACAAAUUCACAAGUCUUGGCGAGUUGUGGCAUUAUGGAAUUUGGAUCACUUAAAAGGAGGCUACCAAAAACCUUAUUCAAUCUAUUUGGAAUUCAACAAGUGUAAGAACAACAAAAACCAAUGGAAGGUAUACAGGUGAAGGUAUUAGUGACACGAAGAAAACUAGGUGUCCGGACGCAUGAAGCAAAUGGAAAUGAAAAAAAAAAACUUUUGUGAUCUAUAUAUAAGCGGAAGACUGUAUAUAUUAAAACCUAUGUAUUUGUCUUAAACGCCCCGUUGAAACAUAUCAACAUCCAUUUGUAUCAACUUCAUUAGUGUAAAAAGAUCAACUUUAUUAGUGCAAGUAAAUUUUAAACCGAGAA